rnacentral:rRNA from 1 species
AUACGGAGGGUGCAAGCGUUACUCGGAAUCACUGGGCGUAAAGCGCGCGCAGGCGGUCUUUUAAGUUGGAUGUGAAAGCCUACGGCUCAACCGUAGAACUGCAUCCAAAACUAUUAGACUAGAGUGUGGGAGAGGAAGAUGGAAUUAGUUGUGUAGGGGUAAAAUCCGUAGGGAUAACUAGGAAUACCAAAAGCGAAGGCAAUCUUCUGGAACAUUACUGACGCUGAGGCGCGAAAGCGUGGGGAGCAAACAGGAUUAGAAACCCCGGUAGUCC